rnacentral:rRNA from 1 species
ACUCCUACGGGAGGCAGCAGUAGGGAAUCUUCGGCAAUGGACGGAAGUCUGACCGAGCAACGCCGCGUGAGUGAAGAAGGUUUUCGGAUCGUAAAGCUCUGUUGUAAGAGAAGAACGAGUGUGAGAGUGGAAAGUUCACACUGUGACGGUAUCUUACCAGAAAGGGACGGCUAACUACGUGCCAGCAGCCGCGGUAAUACGUAGGUCCCGAGCGUUGUCCGGAUUUAUUGGGCGUAAAGCGAGCGCAGGCGGUUAGAUAAGUCUGAAGUUAAAGGCUGUGGCUUAACCAUAGUACGCUUUGGAAACUGUUUAACUUGAGUGCAAGAGGGGAGAGUGGAAUUCCAUGUGUAGCGGUGAAAUGCGUAGAUAUAUGGAGGAACACCGGUGGCGAAAGCGGCUCUCUGGCUUGUAACUGACGCUGAGGCUCGAAAGCGUGGGGAGCAAACAGGAUUAGAUACCCUGGUAGGAUAG